rnacentral:rRNA from 1 species
CGAGACCUGAUCCAGCCUGCCGCGUGCAGGAAGACUGCCCUAUGGGUUGUAAACUGCUUUUAUACAGGAAGAAUAAGCCUUACGUGUAAGGUGAUGACGGUACUGUAAGAAUAAGGACCGGCUAACUCCGUGCCAGCAGCCGCGGUAAUACGGAGGGUCCGAGCGUUAUCCGGAAUUAUUGGGUUUAAAGGGUCCGUAGGCGGAUGAUUAAGUCAGGGGUGAAAGUUUGCAGCUCAACUGUAAAAUUGCCUUUGAUACUGGUCAUCUUGAGUUGUAUUGAAGUAGGCGGAAUAUGUAGUGUAGCGGUGAAAUGCAUAGAUAUUACAUAGAACACCAAUUGCGAAGGCAGCUUACUAAGUACUAACUGACGCUGAUGGACGAAAGCGUGGGUAGCGAACAGGAUUAGAUACCCUGGUAGUCCCGCCGUAAACGAUGGAUACUAGCUGUUCGGGACCUUGAGUUCUGAGCGCUAAGCGAAAGUGA